UACGGAGGGUGCAAGCGUUAUCCGGAUUCACUGGGUUUAAAGGGUGCGUAGGUUGAUUGGUAAGUCAGUGGUGAAAUACUCCGACUCAAUCGGAGAACUGCCGUUGAUACUAUCAAUCUUGAAUAUGGUGGAGGCGGGCGGAAUGCGUCAUGUAGUGGUGAAAUACUUAGAUAUGACGCAGAACACCCAUUGCGAAGGCAGCUCGUUACGCCAUUAUUGACACUGAGGCACGAAAGCGUGGGGAUCAAACAGG
rnacentral:rRNA from 1 species